CUAGGUUUCUUCACUGGCAUUUCCAGUUGCAGUCUUUGAGUAGUAGUUUAUCUAGAAGGGCUGCGGAAUGCCUCCUGUGGAUUCUGUACCAUGUUAGGUCCUAAAUGCAGACGCAGCCCUUGGUAGGGGCAGGGACUGGUGCGCUGCUCGGAGGGGGUCCCAAGGACCGAGGCGGGAAUACUAGCUCCAGGAUUAGGGAAGGGCCAGGAGGAAUGGAAGUACUUUAUAGUCGGUGGGAGCUGCCUUGUGUCCUUGCCUGUAACCCUGACAUCCUAGAUAUGGGAAGGAUGAAAUGAGAUAACCAGGACCUGGCGCUUAGUAGGCCCUCACCAGGUGCCAGGCACAGAAGCUCAGUGGCAGGCGUGUGCCAAGUUUGGGGCAGCCAGUGGUCAGCAGCCCAGCUGCCCCGUGGCACCAGGGAAGAGGGGAAGGGCCCUGCCGUGGAGUAGGCAGAGCAGGGCCUGGAGGGGCCCUGGGCCAGGGGCCUCAGGCUGAAGCGAGCAUGGCCGAGUGAAGUGCAUGGCCUCUCACUGGAGGGCAGAGGCUGGAACACUGGACAGGGAAGUCCCCACCAGGCCAAGGAUGGCUUGAACAGCUACGGAGUAGGCGGCUCAGGUCAAGGAUCUGGCCACGGCCCAGAGUCCAGGCACUGGACACUUGGGUCUCUGUUGUGUCCCAAUGCUUCCUGGGCCUUGGUUUCCCCAUCUUGACACGGGGCGUUGGUGCUUACCUCUCAGGCAUUGCCAUGGGGUAGGAAGGGGGUGUGAAGCGCCUGUGCUGGGCUUGCAGGUAGUAGGUGCUCAGCCCCUCGGAACGGACGCUGCUGUUGUACACAGAGAAACAGAGCCAGGACCCCAGGCCAGGCCUCCUCUUGCUGUGGCCUCCCUGAGAUGGGACUUGGGACAAAAGGUGGUCGGGACUGCCAUGCCCUGCCCUUUCCAAGCCCACCUUUGUAGGGGGCAGCCAGGGCUCACUCCAGUGGCCCAUGAAGGCUUUAGCCCUGGAGCUGCCCAGCUAGCCCUUCAGGCUCUGGGCCACUUUGCUGGCCUCACAUCCCAGCUCACCUUCCUGCUCUGCAGCCUCAGAGAUGCCCUUCCCUUUCUGAGCCUUGCCAGGUAAAAUGCAGCCCUCUCUGGUCCUCGUGACGACCACCUAAGGUGCUGGGUGCAAAUCCCCAGCACACAGUAGGUGCUCUAUGAACGGUCACACUUGCCUUUACCCCACAGUCUCCAAGCACAGCAGUGAGCUGCGAUUCUCACCUGUGGUGGGCGUUGGCCCCUUUUAAGCCAUUUACUCUGGGGCCAAUUAUAAAUAGACACAUAAUCGCCCCUAUCUAUAGAGAUAAGACAUACUCUUCAGAUGAGCCCGCCCCUCCCCUGCCCCCCUCCACGCUGGCACGCGCUCUCCGCAGUUGAAGGCGAGGGGGGAUCGGGUGCUCCCCUCCCUCCUCCAUCCAUCCAUCCCUCCUCCCCGCUGCUCCUCCAUCUCCACCCUGCAGAGGUGAGAUCGGCAGGGGCCGUGAUGUCAGAGGCUCAGCUGAUGUCACCGCCCCGGCCCUGUGACUUCACUUGCCGGCUUGGGCAGGAGGAGCCGCGAGGAGGCUGAGAGCCGAGAAACUGCCCCCCUUUCCUUUUCCUUCUCCUUUUUUCCCUUUCCCCUCCUCCCCCGCCUCGGCUCAGGAGUUGUUUUCCUCCCCCGUGGUCGCCGGGCUGGCAAGGGGUCUGGGGCAAGGGCCAGGGAAGGAUGCGGCUGCAAAGGUAACGGUGUGCGCGGUGCCUCUCCCGCGGUCGUGAAAGUUUGCUCUGGCGUGCGAGGCGUGCCCGCCGGGUGCUCCGCCGCGCCGCGCUGCCCUGGCCCGAGGCUCCCCGGGGGCGGGCAGGGGCCGCGCCGGGCCAGGGCAGGGCUGGGCAGGGGCCUCCCGGGCGGCCUUUACUGCCUUGUCCCCAUCAAAGGCCGCAGCUGCUCGAGUGGCGGCUGUAGCUUUGAAACUGCCAUAAAGAGCGAUGGAGGGCGGGGAGGCGGGGGAUGUUCAGAGCAGUGCCCAGGAGGGUGGCCGGGAGAGGAGGGGCCCGAGGGGGCUGCUCGGGGAGCGCGGCAGCAGCAGGGGCGUGAAGGGCAGGGCCCCGGGUCACAGUCCCAGGGGCCGAGUGCCCGCCCCCGUCCCCUCCGGUCCAGAUCCAGCCGCGCCCCCGUCCCCUCCGGUCCAGAUCCAGCCGCCGUGCGCAGCCAGCCCGGGUGUGAGGGUGCAGAGCGGCGGGGGGUUGGGGCUGGCUGCUCCCUCUCCCCCCCUCCACUAUUUCCAGGCAUGUUCUUCCACCUCCAGCAGGCCAUUUGUCAGUGGUGAUGCGGGACAAAGGAGGGGCAGUGGGUGGUCUGCUGCGAGUUGGGCGAUGGGCACGGAGCGAGGGCCGAGAGAAACGCCAACAAUGAAGAGGCAGAUCGAGGGCUUUGCUCAUUCAGGCUGUCGAGGGAGCCGUCAUUUUGUGUUAGCGUGUGUGUGUCUGAGGUGGGAGGAGGAAGAGAGCGGAGAAUGACAGGAGAAGGAUUAUGACAUUGUGUUGUCUCUGUUUGUGGUAAAUGCAAAUUUGGCACCAGUGGUUUCCCGGGAAAAGGAGCAGCAAGUAACCCAGGCCGAGGCCCUGGCCCAGACCCACGGAGGGAGCCCGUGCUGGGCGGCGUGGGGCUUUAUUUGGCCCUCCCUUUUUUUCUAUCUGGCGUGUGCUUCUUGCAUUUAUUUUACAGUGAAGAGCUGGAGACAGACAGGCCGGCGAGGCAGGAGGAGCCGGCCCCCUCCUCCCAGGCAUGGCAGCCCCUCCUCAGCUCACCCCGGAGGAGGCCUGGGCAGCUCUCCCAACCCCCAGGCGCUGUCCCAGCUCUCCGGCCUCCCUCCCAGGUCUCUGCCCCCAGCCAGGGUCACCGUUCCAUCAUUCUCUUAGCCUGGGCAGCCUGAGGUCUCUGAAGGCUACUUCUGCCCGCAGCUGCUUCCCAAGCGUGACCAGAGACCGAGAACCUGGGACCGAGGCUGGGAUGGGGCUUUGCAGAACGAAGGCCAGGGCUGGGCGCUCCCCCGGCUACAGUGCUGGCCUGGCUGGCCUGGAGGUUGGCAAACAGCUCUGCAGCCAGGGGCUGUUAGCACAGCCUCCUGGACCUUGACUCCUCUGACGGGCCCAUGAGGGCAAGGGAGCUUGAGCCUGCCCUGGGCCAGGAAGCGGCCAUGGUACAAGUCUCUGGGCUGCCACAGGGCUCAGGCAGGUGCAGUGACAUGGGCGCAGGUGGUCAGUGUGUUUACAGCAGGCCUCCAGAGAGGGCAUGGUGGAGUGAGUUUUACCAGGGCCAGGCCGUAGCUCAGGCCCUAGCAGAGACUGUGAGUUCUAAGCUGAGAAGCCAGGGCAGGAACCAUCUACAGGCAGAAGGUCAGGGGAAGGCUGUGGCUCUCCUUCCAGUCUCCCUUCCCCUGGAGCUGGUCCCUAACCUGACGUCACCACCUCCUCUUUUCUGGUCAAGUCUUCUGGUCUCAAUUCACUUCCUCCAGGAAGCCUUCCCUGUCCUUCUCUCAGGUGGACUUGGGUCCUGUGCCUGGCCCACCUUCUUUGCCCUCUCACAGUCCUGACCACACAGACGUGGGUCUGUCUCCCUGUUAGGCCUUUGGGUGCAGAGCCUGGGUGACCAUCCUUGGUUACAGGGACACUUAAGGCCUCCCCUCUGCACUCCUGGCACCUGCCCAGAGCUGGGCAUAGAGGAGCCCUGUUCCUAGAGCUCAGAGGAACACACCCAGACUCAGACCCCCCAGGAAGUGGGACCACCAGGAUGGAACAGCUGCCCUCUCCCCAUGUCCUAGACGGUGUGAUGGGCUCACUUCCUUUGGGCAAACUCACCCCAAGGGGUUUUUUCCCCACAGAAAUCUUUUCCCUGAGUACCCCUGUGAGGUCUGACAGGGAAAUCAAGAGAGGCUUCACAGAGGAGGUGGCAUUUGAAGGCCUUGAAGAGUGAGUAGGAGUUUGCCGUGCUAAGGCAGGAGAGGGUGUACCAUCAGAGGGAAGUGCAAGAACAGCGCAUCCAAGGUGUAAGAGGCGGGUUGCACUCUGUGGCUGAAGCCGUUGGAAGGGAAGAGUGGGGAGAGGCGGCGACAGUGGAAGUGGGGCCCUUGUUUCACUGGCUGGGGGAGCCACUUGUGGAGGAAGGGAGAACCUGACCUGAUGACAGACUGGGCGGUGCCACAUGGACACCGCAGUCAUUGCAAACUCGCCUUCUUUGGACCCGUUUUCAGGAUCUUGCAAAGCUGGCUUGUUCUAGCUGCUCCCAAGCCAGCCUCUCUCAGGCUGCCUUGUGCUGGGAUUCCCAGAUGGCCUCAGAUUUGAAUUUAAAGACCAGCUUGGGUCUUCUUUUAAUUUGGAGUCUCAGGACCAGCCCAGGCCACAUUCUGAGCUGGAACCAAAUUGGCGGGAAGCAGUUUGGAUGCCGAUCAAGGGGUGAAGGGUUCAGGAGCAGCUCCUCCAGCCUGGGACCCCGAGAUGACUGGAGGCUCCUGUGGGAGACUGGGGUGGCUAGUCCCCCAGACCUAUCCCCAACGGAGAUGGCAGCACAGAGGGGUGGCCAACGUCCUGAGGCCAGACUGCCUGGGUUCAAUCCUGGCUCUCCCAUUUCCUAGCUGUGUGGCUUCAAGGAAGUUACCUGCCCUCUGUGAGUCUUUGUGUUCUUGGGUAAUAAUAAUACCUACAUCACAGGGCUGAGGUGAGGAUUACAUGAGAUCAUUCUCACAAAGCAGUCAGCCAGAGCCUGGCUCCCAGGGGGCACUGAAUAAUUGUUAGCUUAAAAAAAGAUAACUCCAGAGAGCAAAGGCUCUAGCACCUAGUGUCUGGGGUCUAAUCACUCAAUCCAUCUGAGCCUCAGUUUCCCUAGUUGUAAAAUGGAGAUGGUCAUCGUGUCUGGUAAUAAUAGCCAAGACUGAGGAGCACUGACUGCGAGAUUUGCAGGCUGUGUUCUAGUUGCCUAACUAUGUAUUAGCUUAAUAGUCUCUCCCCACCCUGAGCCACAUGUAGGGGCAGAGCAGGGGCCAGGGCAGCCUAGAAACUAAAAGUGUGCAGGGAAAAGCCCCAGAGAUUUGGUAGUUUCUGGGUGAAGCUAAACCAGUCCCCUUGCUUAGCAAAGGCAAGAACAGAGGGAAGUGGAUGGCUGGAGUGUGAGGCAUGGAGACCACAAAGGCCCACCCACCACUGUAAAUGAGCUGCCUGGGGCUGGACGCCCCUCAUACGUGGCGGAGUCACCUACACACCGUGGGGCCUUGAGCGAGUUGUGACCACCAUCCUGGACUUCGAUUUCCCUAGCUGUGUGAGGCGGACUUGGGUCUGUUCACCUCUCAGGCCCGCCACUGCUCUAAGGGGCUGUGAUUCUCUUGUUGCUUUGGUUUUCUUGGAAGGUUUCCAUGUAGGUAGUGACUUGGGCGGUAUCAUCUGCCCAUUGAUUUUUCCAGAAAGGAUGCUUUCUUCCCUCCCAUUCUGCACUCAGCCCACAGAUGAGUGACCUCUUGCCUAGCUUUCCCAUUUCUCCUCCUGUCCCUGCUAGUAACUCACCUGGUCUAGGCUCAGGGACCGAGAGGGCCCAGCCCAGUAGCAGCUCCCCAGAGGCCCCCAGAGGGCACAAGAGCCCCAUAGACAACACACCCCAUCACCUGUGAGGAGCACCUGGGGUGGUGUCUACGGGGCUGGGGAGCCACAUCCAGCCCACACAUGGCUUUGUGAGCCCGAUUGCCACGGAGGCCCCCAGUGGCUCAUUCACUCUCCCUCCUCCCCUCAGCAGAAGCUUUGGGAUCCAACAGGUGUGGCUUCCUCCUUGCUCCGCUGUGUCUGCUGGGUGACUGUAGGCACCACACCUCCCUGAGCCUGUUUGCUCAUGGGGUGAAUCGUCCCACCUCACGGAGCACCUGAGGCUGGAAUGAUGGCAACAGCACUUGUGGCACUGAGAAGCGCAGUCACUGUGUGCCUGCAGCCCUCACUCGGGGGUGAUGUUAAUGUCCCUGUUCUACGGGUGAAAAGGCUGAGGCUUCAGGAGCUUAGGGAGCUUGCCGAAGGUCACAUUGCCCUCUGUCCUUCCUUAUUUUAUUUUAUUUAUUGAGAGGGAGUCGCUCUGUUGCCCAGACUGGAGUGCAGUGGCGCAAUCUCUGCUCACUGCAACCUCUGCCUCCCAGGUUCAAGUGAUUCUCCAGCCUCAGCCUUCCAAGUAGCUGGGAUUACAGGCACCUGCCACCAGAGAUAGGGUUUCACCAUGUUGGCCAGGCUGGUUUCGAACUCCUGACCUCAGGUGAUCCGCCCGCCUCAGCCUCCCAAAGUGCUGGGACUACAGGUAUGAGCCACUGCACCUGGCCCUUCCUUUCUUUUUCACACCCACCUACUACCAAGAAGGCACAGAGGCAGAUGAUGAUGCUGGGAGUCCAUCUGAGGCAGGACGGGUAAAGGAAGCCUAGAGAGCCCUAGGGGAGGAGGCUGGGGAGACACAAAACUUGUGAAGAAGUGGUUACCAUGCAUGUCUGUCAUCAUUUGCCCACAGAGGGAUAUACUGAUAAUGGGAAUAAUGGUCGUCAGGUGGGCAGGGGAAGGGGUACCCUGCACCAUCAUGUCUGCUGAGGAAGAUACAGUCGUGGUUCCCUCUUCCCAAGAUGUUUCUGCUCACCUUUGCUCAGGACAUGGGGUUGCUUAAGGGCAAUGUGUGGGUUCAGAUCCGGCCUCUGCACUCACCUGCCGUGUGAUCUCAGGCUAAUUAUUUAUUGCUCUGAGCCUUAGCGUCCACGCCUGUACAUGGGGAUGGUCAUCGUAUUCACAGUGUUGUGAGGAUGUUACGAGUGGACGCAGGUAAUGCACUUAGCACCAUGCCUAGCUGGCGGGAGAGCUCUAGGAAUGUUCUCUGUUGUCGGCCUCUUGAAUCAGCCUUGCCUCUCCUCAGCAUUCCCUCAGCACCUGCUGUAAGUCAGCGCCAAACCCAGGCAGCCUCCUCCUGUGCCCUGGGCUAAGCCGCCAGCCUCCAGGCCUGGGAGCUGAGCGUCUGGAUCUGCCGCGCAGGGGGAACAGCCUCUGAGAGUUGGUGUGUUGGCUCCCACUGCUGGCGUGACAGACAUCCUGAGGAAAUAUGUCACUUUACAAUAGUUUUCAAAGAAAUUUCUAGAAAGCUCUUUUAACCCUACGGGGGCCAUUCAUAGCCUGGACUUCCGUUAGGUCCUAGUCUCAGUUUUUUCUUGAUUUGCUGAGGUCCCGCCCUCUCCCGGGCCUCAGUUUCCUCAUCUGUAAAGCAGUAACUACCCAGCUCAGAGGGCUGCCCGUGUGAGAUGAAACUGCUCCUGUGAAACAUGCUUUGUAACCUUGAGAGCACUUUACAGAGCUUUCGGUUCUGUUUCUGGUCAUUCACCAGACGGCCGCAGGCAGAUGCCUGGGCAGGGUCAUACUGUGUGCCCAGGCUGGGUGUGCACAGCAGUGGGAUGCCAGCUUGGCUCUCAAGGGCUCCCUGAGUCGUGGCCUCACUAAAACCCUUGAACUUUGUAAUUUCUAGAGAAUGUGGAAGGCUUUACAGGCAGCCCUGCUCCUUCGCAGGGAAAUGCUGAUAAGCGUCUUGUCCUGGUCACUGGUUCAACCCACGUAUGUUUUUGGAGCAGCUCCUUGUGCUGGGCACUGGCCUGGCUGAUGAGGAUGAAGCUGAAGACCAGAGGUCAGCCUUGCCUUUGAGAGCUUGGCCUAGGAAGAGGGAUAUGGAAACUCACAUCCAAAACCCUGAUGACUGAGGUUCAGGGUGACGUGACACAGGGCCUGCACUUCUCAGAAGAGGCUCAGCCACAGGGCAGGAUCGCGUCUAAAUACAUACUGGCUUGUGUCCUGUGCUCAGAAUCCUUCAUCAUCUCCUCUUUUUGCCCAGGGAUAAAGUCGCAAAGCCUCUGUGGCCUGUACUGUCCUGCUCCAGCUGCAUCUCCAGCUUUCUCAUUUCACUUACAUUACCCUGCAGGCCCCUGUGCCCUUCCUGGAAAUCUACUUGUUCCCUCCUACCGCAGGGCCUUUGCCCAUGCCGUGCCCUCUGCCUGGAGCUCUCCUCCAACUUCACCAUGUGGUUACUUCCUACUUGUCUUUCAGGCCUCAGCUCAAAUGUCCUAGAUCCCCAAGGCUCAGGGUCCCUAUUGUACAUCUGCUGUGCUCCUGCCACACUUUCUUACUAAUUUGUAUCAUGGCUGUUAUCAGAUGAUUAUUUAUGUGAUGAUUCUUUUUCUAACAGCUCCAUGGCACCAUAAACUUCAUGACCACAGGGACCCUUGGGAUCAAUGCUUGUCAUAAGGGCUCAGUCAAUGUUUGUUGAAUGAAUGAAUAAGUGUUAAGAGUUUGUGGAGGAGGUGGCAUUUGAGUAAGACUUGAAAGAGGAUAUAAUUUCAAUCUGUAGGGAAGAGGGAACGGCAUUCCUGCUGCAGGGAGCAGACAGGCACAGGACAGGAAGCCAACUUGUCUAGUUAGACAGAGAGGCAGAAUGAGACCUGGGAGAGAAGGUUUGGAGAAGCAAGCGGAGCCAGAUAGAGCAUUGUAUUCCAGGCUGAUAGGAAUAAACUUGAAUGGUGAAGCCGCUCAGGACCCACUGACAGACUUCUGAGCCAGGGGGAGCAAAGUUAAAACCGGCUUUGGAUAACUGUAAUGAAUCCGCCACAGGGAUGGGUGGGCAGGGAAAAGUGGCUCCAGUCGAGGACCAGUUAAGAGUUGGAGAAUUCACGGCUCCUGCUGCUUUCUGCUCCCCUGGAAUCAAACGUGAUUUUGCAAUUAUCCCCGAGAGCUCGCAGGGAGAUGCAGGGCAGUGAUGAGGAACCUCACACGGCGUGGCUGCUUCCAGAAGACAAUCGCCUUGGCAUCAGGGCAGCUAUCCCCGAGUCACUAGAGGGAGAGACGGAGUUGAUUAAGCAUCGGCAUCUGCGUUUCUUGGCUUCUCCUAUUGAGAAGGCAGCAUCCAGCUCUGCAUCCCUGCACCUGUGUCCUGGUGCCUUCUAUUAAUAAGUGGCCCAGGAAUCUUGACGCUGAAGGACCAACCUGUGGCAGAAGAUGAGCAGAAACAUUUCUGUCAAAUGCCCAGCAAACAAGACUCCACGCCUCCGUGGGGAGCCAGCACAUAAGAGUCAGGACUCUUGAGGACCUGAGGACAAAUCCCAGCACCACCACUUAGCAGCUGUGCACCUUCGAGCAUCUUCUAAGUGACUCUGGGCCUCCAUUUCUUCACUUGUGAAAAUGGAGGCUGCCCUGGUGUUGUGAAGGUUAAGGUUAAGUGACAUAUAUGGAUCCCCAAGCACAGGGAACACUGGAGGCUCAGGAAGUAGUGGCCGUUAUCAUGGCUGCGUUUUUCUCCAUGGUUUGAAUUCUUAGCAGGAAGCUUCGGUUUCAGGCUUAAAAAUGAAGAGCAUGUCAACAAAACAGGAUGGAACAAAGUCUUUUCCCAGCAUGCCUCAGCAUGUGGCACUGCCUUCCCGUGGAGCCCAGACAAUGAUGUGGCUAAAAGUCUUGAGCUUUCAGGCAGAAAUAAUCCCAAAGGAAAGGAACUUCCUUAUUGUCAUCUUAUAACAAAGCAACGCAGGGGCCCUGUAGCCUGUCAGAUUCAGCUCUGCCCCCUCCGAGCUGCUCUGUGCCUCAGUUUCCUCAUCUGCAAAAUGAGGCGAGAACAGUACCCACUUUAUAGGGUUGUUGUAAGGAUUAAGCAAGUUACUGCAGGAAAAGCGCUUAGAGCAUGCCUUUGUCACUGCGACUCUUAGAUCAUUUCAUAUUCAGGUUAACUCUUUGUAGUGCCCUGAGUGACUCUGUGGGGGCUUUGGAGCCAGAAGACUGAGUUCAAAUCACAGCCUCUUCCUAGCUGUGUGACCUGGGCAAGUCUCUUAACCUCUGUGUGCACCCAUUUCCUGCUCUGUACAAUGAAGAUGACAAUCCCUGCCUCAUGGGUUUGUUGUGAGGAGUGAAUGGGAUCACUCAGGUAAGGGCGCCGACUCCCCUGAGGCAGGCAGCUCACCUGGCCCCUCCCAGCCCAAUUUACAGCUGAAGAAAUUGGAUGAUUUAAAGACACACACUGGUGAGACCAGGCUGGCGCCAGCUCAGUGACUGGCCCGAUGAGAGUCCAGCCACUGGGGACAGUGAGUGCCGGGCAGGUGGGGGUGAUCUGUGCGCUCAGGUUGCACGGGCUUCCCGUUUCUUGGCCUAUCCUCAGGUGUUAGCUCUCUGCUCACCUGUGGGGAAGAUGUGUAAGUCGAUUCACAGCAGCUGCUGCUUGUUGGGCAGACCGUGGUCUUCCAGGCAUGGGGUCCGAGAGUCUGAGGCCCCCCGACCUGCCCGAGCUGCCCAGUGUCCAGGGCUUAAUAUAUGACUGCUGGAGGGGCUGGCGCUGCCCAUGCCGUCCUCUUACAUUCUUUCCCUAUCGGCCUGCAGACUUUUGGUCCUACUGACUGUCUAGGUCCAUCUCUGUCUUUCCAGUGUUUGCUGAGUGCUGGGAAGCUUGGUGGUUAAGAGUGCAGCCUCUGAAAACCUGGGUUCAAAUACCAGCUCAGCCUCUUCCAAACUGUGUGACUUGGGAUAAGUUAAACUCUUUGCACCUCAGUGGCCCCAUCUGUAAAAUAGGGGUGAUAACAGUACCAAACUCAUUAGACUGCUGCAAAUAAGAAGAACUGGGAUGAUAAAGGGAAAUCUGCAUAGUGCCUGGUUCAUAGUAAGCCUGGAUUCCUCUGGGCUGUA
rnacentral:lncRNA from 1 species